rnacentral:tRNA from 1 species
GGCCCGUUGGUCAAGCGGUUAAGACACCGCCCUUUCACGGCGGUAUCAGGGGUUCAAUUCCCCUACGGGUCACCA